rnacentral:rRNA from 1 species
GUUAUACUAUUGAGGCAAACGUAUUUUGAUUAUAAUGAUAAAUUGUGAUGUUAAUGAAUUUUAGAAUGUUUAAUUAGGUGAAAUUUUUAAAUUUUUUAUUUCUUGAGACAAUUUUUAUGAAGUUUUUUUAGUGACUAGGAUUAGAUACCCUAUUAUCAAAAUGUGAGUUAAUUAGGUAGUAGAAAUUUUUUGAAACCUAAAGAAUUUGGCGGUAUUUUAAAUGAUCGGAGGAACCUGUUAUUUAAAUGAUAAUCCACAACAUAUCUUACCUAGAUUUUGUUUGUAUAUCGUUGUAUUAGGUGAUGUUUAGAAAUUAUUAUCAGUGUCAAUUUAUUUUCAAAAAUCAAAUCAAGGUGCAGCAUAUUUAGGUUAUAAUGGGUUACAAUAUUAGUUAAAUAUUACGGAUAUUUAUUGAGAAUAUUUUUGAAGGUGGAUUCGAAAGUAAUUUAAAAUUAAGAUGU